rfam:Triticum aestivum genome assembly, contig: Triticum_aestivum_CS42_TGACv1_scaffold_501068_6BL
AUAAUACUCCCUCCGUCCCAAAAUUCUUGUCUUAGAUUUGUCUAGAUACGGAUGUAACUAGAUACAUCCGUAUCUAGAAAAAUCUAAGACAAGAAUUUUGGGAUGGAGGGAGUAUCAA